CUUUCUCUCUUUUAUUUUCUCCGUUUUUUACUUUCAUUCUUUUUCUUAUUUGUGCAGUACUUCUUAAGUUAAGAUGCAUGUUAUUGUUUAUUGAUUGUAGUUAUUCUUGUUAUGAUUGAGUAAUCACAAUUUGUGUGUGAGGGUGUGUUUCGGGGGGGGGGGGGGGUGUGGCAUGUGUGCUUUAGCCGGGUACUAACUAGUCGGAAUUGCCUAGCUUCAAUUCUAUGUGUGUUUACAUGUGCUGGUUUGAAUAUGAAUUGCAUAAUUUUCAUGCCUUUCAUUCAUUCUUUGAAGUGGAAAUAACCUAUGUUAUCAUGUCAUGUUUGUUGAUAUAACAUGGGUUAAGCAUUGGUGAAGCAACUAAUAUUUGUUUCAUGAUAAGGUCGCUGGGUUUUUUGUAGAGUUCUUUAAACGAUACCAUAGUUUAUCCCAAACCCCCUUGCAUGGUACUUUCUCAAAAAUUGGUCUAGUGGGCUAAAGUUCCGCUGUGCUCCUUCAUGUGGCAAGAAUUUGACUCGGGCAGUUGAGCCCAACAUUAAGCUUGAGUUUUUUCCAGCAAGAAGUGAAAGUAACCAACAAGUAGGCCCCGCAUAGAGGGCAUGGAUGGUAUGUAUGCUUUAGCUGGUUUGAAUAUGAAUUACAUAAUUUUCAUGCCUUUCAUUCAUUCUUUGAAGUGGAAAUAACCUAUGUUAUCAUGUCAUGUUCCUUGAUAUAACCUGGGUUAAACAUUGGUGAAGCAAUUAAUAUUUGUUUCAUGAUAAGGUCGCUGGGAUUAUUUUAGAGUUCUUUAAACGAUGCCAUAGUUUAUCCCAAACUCUCUUGCUUGGUACUUUCUCAAACAUUGGUCCAGUGGGCUAAAGUUCCUCUGUGCUCCUUCAUGUGGCAAGAAUUUGACUCGGGCAGUUAAGCUAAACAUUAAGCUUGAUAUUGCACCUCUAUGUGGGGCCUACUUGUUGGUUACUUUCACUUCUUGCUGAAAAAUAAAAAACUCUCCUUCUCAUCUCCUUUUAUGUCCAAUUUGAUUGAUAUGCUACUUAGGCCAGACACCUAUUCAAGGUUAAUUUAUAUCCAAGAAUUUCAGGCUUGUCUUGGUUUGUAUUUGCUGAUGUCUUAAGCCUAUAAGUGUGCUUAUUUUUAAAAGGGGAGCGAUGCAGCACAGAGUGAUUUAUUUAGAUAUCCUAGACUGACUUGAUUUGUUCAGUAUAUGUUUUUUUUCUCUGUCUGUGUGAUCACAUGUCUGCUUAUGUUUGUGUGCAACUUCUAUUAUGAUUAUGGGUUGUUAGGCAAUCAUCAAUCUUGUUGCGUCUCCUGUUUAAAGGUGAUUAUAUAAUAUCUGUGAAUAUAGGUCUGUAGACUCAGCUAUGAAAAAUCAUUUACGUUUAUGUCAUUUCUUGUCUCUUAUUUCUUUUCCUUGUCAUAACUCAUAUCGUCUGAUCCAUUUAUUCUGUGUCCAAAAAUGGCAGCUAAUGACCCAGCACAUUGAAAUUUAAUUUAAUAAACUCUGUAAAGAAGUUACCCUAAUAUAUAUGCUGUAUUUGGAGGACAAGUCAAUUACCAUUAAGUGUUCAACAACUAGUGAUCGGUGAGGAAUAAUCUUAAAGGAAAAUGAUAUGAUGAUCGAUGGGAUUUCAGUGGGUCCAUUGCGGUGAAAUGUGAUUAAUGCCAUCCCUCCUCGGUGGUUAAUACCAGGACAAGAAGAUGGAGGCGUUGCAAAGCUUGUUAGUGCUUCCAUGGUGUCAGCCAUUGGAACUGAAAUGUUUUUUGGGAUGUUACAAAGUAGCAGUAAAUCUUUUGUGAAAUCGAUAUGAUAGAUAGAAGGCAGAGUUAAGAUGAAAGGGAAAUUUGAGCUUAUCAAAUCUUACAAAAGAUUUAUACAUAAAUGAUUGUUUAAAUAAAAAUUUGGGUUGGAAUAUCUCAUGUAGUAGAUGAUGGAUCAAUGAGAUAGAGGGUUUAUUUGAAAGAUUUAGCUAAUUGAGAUUUGAGACUUUAUUGCAAGCAAUAUAAGGGUUCGGAGGUUGUUCCGCGUUUGCACAGUUCAAGGCUUCCUCCCACGAAGCUGCACCGGAGCCAAGCAUUUCAUGGCACUCUUAUUGGGUUGGAAUUGGGUGUUGACCUGGGUAAUUAUGUACGAAGGCUAGAGAAUUGAUACUUUGAGUGAAUGUUGUUUGAAGAGAGUUAUUCACUUGUAAGGGAGGGUGUUGUUUUACUUGGAACUAUUAUGGUUCAGCUAGAUAAACAGAUUGAAGAGAAUGGCAUAACUGAGUAGAUUAUCCCUCAGAUACAUUUUCUUAAUCUCAAAUAUCAAUGCUGUUUCCUUUUGUUUUCUGGAUUUGAGUAAUUAUUCUGAAAUUAUUACUCUUUUAGUGUUUGAAGGGAUCCUUUGGGUGUGUUGGGUUUUAGCUAAGGCAUAAAUUGAUUUAGAUUUCAAAUUUCACUGGUGUGCCUCAUGUAUCAGAAUUGAAAGGAGUUUUAUUGUUGAGCCUUUGGAGAAUGAGGGUGAUGGUAGGCAUCUAAAGAAUUCUGUAUUUCUGAGGGUUAAUGCCAGGACAAGAAGAUGGAGGAGUUGCAAAGCUUGUUAGUGCUUCCAUGGUGUCAGCCAUUGGAACUGAAAUGUUUUUUGGGAUGUUACAAAGUAGCAGUAAAUCUUUUGUGAAAUCAAUAUCAUAGAUAGAAGGCAGAGUUAAGAUGAAAGGGAAAUUUGAGCUUAUCAAAUCUUACAAAAGAUUUAUACAUAAAUGAUUGUUUAAAUAAAAAUUUGGGUUGGAAUUGGGUGAGGAGGUCUUUUGGGAUGUUAGCAUGUUUGUUAAACAAAUGUAAGAGAAAAUUUUGAACUUAUCAGAUCUUACAAAAGAUUGAGAAAACUGGAGUUUCCUUGAUCUUUAAAAAACUCUACUUUGAUGAAACAAAGACAAACCAUCACCUGGACAAUGUAUUGAAGAAUCUUUUAUUACAACUGAAAUGGGUAUGGGAGAUGAUUACGGCUUUAUGUGCUGAUAGGAUUACAUUUGAUGUGUUGGGAGAUUUCCACGUUCAUGAGAUGGUUAUAGCAGCAAGUAGGUUGGCUUGUAAAGGACACAAGGGUCUUGUUUGGAAAGCAAACUAUUUUGUUGAAUAAAUGUAAAAAUUGAGUCAAAAAAGAUCUCAUUAAUAUGGUAAAGAAUACAUGAAAGAAUACACGGUACUUGCUCAGGGUAUCCAUAGAGUUAGAGGGUCUGAUUGUAAAAGAAAAACUUUGAAAUACUCACAUCUUCAAGACAUCAUUUUUAGAGAGAAAUUUAUAUUGGACAGUAUAGAAGAACUACUAAAAGAGAAAUGCACAUGGCAUGAGAAUAACCCGUUCUCGUAAGAGCAAAAGAGAACAGAACAAUGUUAAAAAAACUUUCUAAUUCUGUAUGUUUGCUAAGGAUAUUAUAGUAAAAGCAUCAGUACAUAACACCAUAAAGAUGCGAGAAAAACUAUUUUGUCCUAUUUUAAUGGGAGGAAAGUUGUUUGUCCUGGAAGAUUCUAGUGUUUCCUUCAUUCCGAAUGGUCCAAAUCAUAGAAAAUAUUGCACACUUCUAUGGCACCUUCCCUUGUUGCACACUUCUAUGGCACCUUCCCUUGUUUGAUCUCCAAAAUCCCAUUUGCAUGCAAGAGUAGGUCUUCUGGAGAAUUAGCGAAAAUCUCACAUAACAUGUUUAUUCAAUUUUAGAGAUUUUAUAAUUGGCAAAAAAGUAGAUUCGCCUAGCAUUAUUAUGUUGAAAAGACUUGUUCGUUGAUAGGCACUAGCAUCUUUUACUGUUCUCAAUAUAUGAAAAGAUUGGGUGAUGCAUGGGGAUGAACAUGCAAUGAAAAUGGUUGCUUUAGUUGCAUUACGUUAACCCAAAAAAAUAUUUGUGAUGAGAGGGAGAAUAUUAUCAGAAACCAAAUCAAUUUAUUUGCUAAUUAAAUUUCUGAUUGUAAUGGCGCACUGAAAUGAGUAGGAUUUAGUGCGUUUGAUCUCAGAUAUCUUGCUUUGCCAGCUCUAUGAGAUACAAUUAGGAAGGCUCCCAUUGAAGGUAUAGAAGAAUAUUUAAGUUUUGGAAGAAUUUUUCAAAACAGUUGGAGAACCAAGGGGAAAUGUUACCUGAGUAAUUUGCUAGUUUCACUUGUAAAAGGCCUUUAUGCUAUUGGCUAGAGCUCAAAUUCUUGCUCUUUUAGUGGUUAUUAUUUUUGUGUAUUUUAAUGGUUUUCCUCAUCCAGGAC
rnacentral:lncRNA from 1 species